UAACACGUGGGUAACCUGCCUUAUAGUGGGGGANAGCCUUUCGAAAGGAAGAUUAAUACCGCAUAAGAUUGUAGUAUCGCAUGAUAUAGCAAUUAAAGGAGCAAUCGCUAUAAGAUGGACCCGCGUCGCAUUAGCUAGUUGGUGAGGUAAUGGCUCACCAAGGCGACGAUGCGUAGCCGACCUGAGAGGGUGAUCGGCCACAUUGGGACUGAGACACGGCCCAGACUCCUACGGGAGGCAGCAUG
rnacentral:rRNA from 1 species